CGGGGCAAGUAAGCGGCCGCUUUUUUGCGCUAUUAGUCGCAAAGAAGAGGAAAGUCCGGACUUCAUAAAAAGGGCAGCGGAUAACGUCCGCCGAGAGUAAUCUUAGGGAAAGUGCCACAGAGACAAUACUAUCUGUCUUCAUAGACGGAGAAAGGUGAAAAGUGACUUGGUGUCCUUCGGGGCUACAAGUUUCGGCCGCCGGUAACGGCGUGUCCGUGGUAAACCCUGCCUGGAGCAAGAGCAAAGUCACGUGGCCGUCAGGCCUAUACGUGAUAAAAAGUAGCUCGCAAGACUUGGCUGGUGACAGUCGAGCUAGAUAAAUGGCCGUUCACGACAGAAUCCGGCUUAUCGCUUGCCCUAGUUA
rnacentral:RNase_P_RNA from 1 species